GCACAGCUGGAAUGGCACAGCCCGGGAGGUACAGCCUGAAACAGCUGGAAUAGCACAGCCCGGGAGGUACAACCUGUGGGUGUCACACACACACACACACACACACACACACACACACACACACACACACACACAGCCUGCCAACAGCCUGGCAGCACACCCAGGGGCUGCCCAGCGCUGGUGACACCGUGGGGGUGUCACUGUGUGUGUUUGUGUCACCCGCUGUGUGCCUGUGUGUGACUCCCUCUGCGUGUGGCUCCGCUCCUUGUGUGUGCGUGUGUCACUGUGCGUGUGUGUGGGUCCCCUCCUCAGUGCGUGUGUCACUCCCUCUCUGUUUGUGUGUGUGUCACUGUGCGUGUGUCACUGUCUGUGUCACUCCAUGUGUGUGGCUCUGAGUGUGUCACUGUGCGUGUGUCACUCUGUGUGUGUCACUGUCUGUGUCAGUGUCUGUGGCACUCUGUGUGUGGCACUCUGUGCCGGUGCGUGUGUCACUCUGUGUGUGUGUCACUCUGUGUGUCACUGUGCAUGUGUCACUGUGUGUCCCUGUCUGUGCCAUUGUGCAGGUGUCACUGUCUGUGUCACUCUGUGUGUGUCACUGUCUGUGUCGGUGUCUGUGUCACUGUCUGUGUCACUCUGUGUGUGGCACUCUGUGUCAGUGUCUGUGUCAGUGUCUGUGUCACUGUCUGUGUCACUCUGUGUGUCACUGUGCGUGUGUCACUGUGUGUCCCUGUCUGUGCCAUUGUGCGGAUGUCAAUGUUUGUGUCACUCUCUGUGUGUCACUCUGUCUGUGUCAGUGCGUGUGUCACUCUGUGUGUGGCACUGUCUGUGUCGGUGUCUGUGUCAUUCUGUGUGUGUCGGUGCGUGUGUCACUCUGUGUGUGUCACUCUGUCUGUGUCAGUGUCUGUGUCACUGUCUGUGUCACUCUGUGUGUGUCACUCUGUCUGUGUCGGUGUCUGUGUCACUGACUGUGUCAUUCUGUGUGUGUCACUGUCUGUGUCCCUGUGCAGUGUCACUCCGAGUGUGUCCCUGUGUCGCUGCCGGCGCUGUCCCGGCGGGCACACAUCCCCGUGUCCGUGCCCAUGUCCGUGUGUCCGUGUCCGUGUCCGUGCCCGUGUCCGUGUCCGUGUGUCUGUCCGUGUCCGUGCCCGUGUCCGUGUCCCUAUCCGUGCCCGUGUCCGUGUCCGUGCCCGUGUCCGUGUCCGUGUCCGUGUCCGUGUCCGUGGGUCCGUGUGUCCGUGUGUCCGUGUCCGUGUCCGUGUCCGUGGGUCCGUGUGUCCGUGUGUCCGUGUCGGUGCCCGUGUCCGUGUCCGUGUCCAUACCCAUGUCCGUGUGUCCGUGUCCGUGCGCGCUCCCGCGGUCCCGCCCCCCCCCCCACCCGCGCGCGCCCCCGCGCCGCCCCCGGAAGCGGCCGCGGGUCACGUGUGCGCGCGGCGCUGCCAUAAACACGGCAAGAUGGCGGCGCUCACGCCGCCCGCCCGCCCGUGCUGCGUCAUGUCGCGCCCCGGCCCCGCCGCGCCCGCAGGAUGCCCCUGUCUUGGCUGGUUACUGUAACUCAGAGGUCUCUACGUGGAAUUGA
rnacentral:lncRNA from 1 species